rnacentral:rRNA from 1 species
UACGUAGGGCGCAAGCGUUGUCCGGAAUUAUUGGGCGUAAAGAGCUCGUAGGUGGUCUGUUGCGUCCGCUGUGAAAACCCAGGGCUUAACCCUGGGCUGGCAGUGGAUACGGGCAGACUAGAGGUAGGUAGGGGAGAAUGGAAUUCCCGGUGUAGCGGCGAAAUGCGCAGAUAUCGGGAGGAACACCGGUGGCGAAGGCGGUUCUCUGGGCCUUACCUGACACUGAGGAGCGAAAGCGUGGGGAGCGAACAGG